rnacentral:misc_RNA from 1 species
UGCCCUCGGCCGCAUCCGCUUCAACUUCCCGAACAAGUUCCUCGUGUAUCAGCACGACACGCCGGACAAGCACCUGUUCGCCAAGGAGGAGCGCGCCUUCAGCCACGGCUGCAUGCGCGUGCAGAAUCCGGAUCAGUACGCGGCGAACCUGCUCAGCAUCGCGCUGCCGAAGGAAGGCUACACGCCGGAAAAGAUCAAAGGCCUGUACGGCCGCAGCGAGCUCAACAUCAACUUCCCGACGCCGAUCCCGGUCAACAUCACCUAUCAGACGGCNNNNNNACGCGGGCAAGCUGGAAUUCCGCAAGGACAUCUAUGGCCGCGACGCCCGGGUGAUCUCGAU